GACGAACGCUGGCGGCGUGCCUAAUACAUGCAAGUCGAGCGGACGGAUGGGAGCUUGCUCCCAGACCCGCAGCGGCGGCGGGUUGAGUAACACGUGGGCAACCUGCCUGUAAUACUGGGAUAACUCCGGGAACCCGGGGCUAAUACCGGAUAACUCUUUCCCUCACUGGAGGGAAAGCUAAAAUAUCGCAUCUCGCGAUCGCUUACACAUGGUCCCGGGGGGCAGUAGCUAGUUGGUGGGGUAACGGCUCUCCAAGGCGGCGAUGCGUAGCCGACCUGGGGGGGUGAUCGGCCACACGGGAGCUGGGCCACGGCCAAGAGUCCUGAGGGAGGCAGCAGUAGGGAAUCUGAGGCAACGGACGAGAGUCUGACGGAGCAACGCCGCGUGAGUGAUGACGGUGUUCGGAGCGUAAAACUCUGUUGUCAGGGAAGAACCAGUACCGGAGUAACUGCAGGUAUCUUGACGGUACCUGGCCAGGAAGCCACGGCUAACUACGUG
rnacentral:rRNA from 1 species